GGCAAGGUAGCUCAGUUGGUUAGAGCACCGCACUCAUAAUGCGGGGGUCGGCAGUUCGAGUCUGCCCCUUGCUACCA
rnacentral:tRNA from 1 species